UGACAGGAGGAUUCGGCAGGCACGCACCCCCUCGUUACACGUGGUGCAGGAGCGGAGGCGUGCGCUCCUUGUGUGCGCGCUGCCGGCAGUAAACAACUGCUGUGGAAAUUCUCCUGUACUCUGAAGAAAUUGUGACUGUACUAACACUCAGGAUUCACUCAGGUGAUAAUGUUCUUCUGCAAGUGACAAUUAACUCCAGCUGCUGAAACAUUGUGAAGAUUGAUUGUACAGAUGAAGAGUUACUUCUUGUGAUGAAACUCCAAUCAGUAGUCCAAAUACAGGAUUACUUCCAGCCUCUUUGUUCUGAGAACUGC